UACGUAGGGUGCAAGCGUUGUCCGGAAUUAUUGGGCGUAAAGAGCUCGUAGGCGGUUUGUCGCGUCUGCUGUGAAAACUGGGGGGCUCAACCCCCCAGCCUGCAGUGGGUACGGGCAGACUAGAGUGCGGUAGGGGAGAUUGGAAUUCCUGGUGUAGCGGUGGAAUGCGUAGAUAUCAGGAGGAACACCGAUGGCGAAGGCAGAUCUCUGGGCCGUAACUGACGCUGAGGAGCGAAAGCUAGGGGAGCAAACAGG
rnacentral:rRNA from 1 species